CCAUCGGUGCCCACGGGCGGUUCCCGCCCAGGGUUAAACGGGAAACAGGUGCGCGGCCCAUGGUCACAUGGGGCCGCAAUGCCUGUGCUGCCCCCGCAACGGUAAGCAUGCGCAAGGUGGAUCACGCAGCCACUGGGUUCGUCGCCCGGGAAGGCGGUCCAUCCGUCCAGCCGUCAGGCUGGCACAGCAUGUGAGCCCGGAGACCGGCCGUGACGCGAAUUGGCGG
rnacentral:ncRNA from 2 species